GGUGGGAGCGAGCCUGCUCGCGAUAACGGUGGGUCAGUCACAUCAAGGUUGACUGAUACCCUGCCAACGCGAGCAGGCUCGCUCCCACA
rnacentral:misc_RNA from 1 species